rnacentral:rRNA from 1 species
GUGGCAGCCGCCGCGGUAAUACGGAGGGUGCAAGCGUUAUCCGGAUUCAUUGGGUUUAAAGGGUGCGCAGGCGGAUUAUUAAGUUAGUGGUGAAAUCCCGGGGCUCAACCUCGGAACUGCCACUAAUACUGGUAAUCUGGAAUACGGUUGAAGUGGGCGGAAUGUAGCAUGUAGCGGUGAAAUGCAUAGAGAUGCUACAGAACACCGAUCGCGAAGGCAGCUCACUAAGCCGAUAUUGACGCUCAGGCACGAAAGCGUGGGGGGCGAACAGGAUUAGAUACCCUGGUAGUCCACGCCGUAAACGAUGAUAACUCGUUGUUGGCGACACACAGUCAGCGACUAAGCGAAAGCGAUAAGUUAUCCACCUGGGGAGUACGAUCGCAAGGUUGAAACUCAAAUGAAUUGGCGG